rnacentral:tRNA from 1 species
GAAAGCCUGUUGAUUUACCAACAUCUUCUGAAUGCAACUCAGACACCUUAAUUAAGCUAAGACUUC